rnacentral:lncRNA from 1 species
CCGGCCUCAGGUGCGCCCGGCCGAGCCUCCGCGGAGAGGAGGAUUGGUAGAUCACAGGAAACGGGAGGACGGCGCUGGGCUCCCAGCAGGCGCCCCAUUUUCUUGGCUUGUCGCAAGAGCAGCCGGAGGCGGCGGCGGCAGGGAGGGAGCGGGUGGGGAGUGGGAGAGGCCGCCCGCCUCCCCGUCCAGCUCGGAGGACCUCCCAGCUGGUUCCCUCACCGUCAAAAGCAGGAAGGGAGCUGGCUCGGCGGGAUCAGCAAGCCAGCGGGCAAGAAGGCUCCAGGCUCCGCAGGGGCCACCCCACAUGGACUCGGGAACCGCCGAGCUUCACCCACAAGGGCCCACGGCCCAUCCUAUCACGGAUGAAAAGAUUACAGGACUGACAAUGAGGCCCUGGAGGGAUCUGAUGCAGCUGGCGGGGAGAAAGGGAACACGGUGUUUGGUUUUAUAAAUUCCAUUUUGGUGGAAUAGGAAGGCUGGAGUGCAGUGGCAUGAUCUCAACUCACUGUAACCCUCCGCCUCCCAGGCUCAACGAUCCUCCUGCCUCGGCCUCCCUAGCAGUUCGAACUAUAGGCGUGCACCACGACAUCCAGCUAAUUUUUGUAUCUGUUGGAGACACAGGGUCCUGCCAUGUUGUCCAGGCUGGUCUCCAAUUCCAGAGGCAAUAAUUGGGAGGCCAAGGCGAUCUGCCUACCAAUUAUUUUCUCUUAAAUGCAUUUUAAAGCUACAAAUUUUCUCCUGACUGCUUCAUGUAGGUUUUAAUAUUAUUUGCCAUGAAAUAUAUUUCACAGUGGAAUGACAGAUAAUUGGGAUAAGAAAUGGCAAUUCAAGGAGUUAUUUAAAUAUAGGGCUAAGAUUUGAAUUCUAGCUUACUGGGACCAAAGCUUGUGAAGUCUCAGGGUAUGGCUGAAUUAUAGUGCUCUUGUUAUUUCUAAAGAGUGUAUAAUUUUUAUUCUGAUAUCCCCUUUAACCCAUGUGCUUUUUCCUAAGAGUACAACUUAAGGAGGGCAUGUUUGAUUAUUUUAUUGUUUUAUAAUCAGUUAACUAUGCCCUGGUCCUAUAUGGUUUCAGCUUUUCAGCACUUGUUGAGACUUAAUUUGCCAUCUCACUUAUGGCCAAUUUUUGUCAAUAUUCUAUGUGAAUUUGAAAAUAAUGUAACUUUCCUAUUUUGAAUAUAAGAUGGUAUAGGCAUAAUUAUAGUUAUGAUUAAUCUUAUUAACCGUGUUCUUCAAAUUCUCCAUAUCCUCAGUAAGUUUCAGUCAACUAGAUCUGUCAAUUCCUAAGAAAGGUAUAUUAAACUUAUCACUGUGAUUGUUGACUUAUAUGCACAUAUGUGUAUGUAUCCUUGUUAAAUGCAAACAAUUCAUGGUCAUUCCUUAAUGGAGCACUACCUUUAUGAAUAUGAUAUACCCUUCUAGUGCCAUAUAUAAAUGUAUUUUUAAACCGACUUUAAAAAAAAAAAAAAAAGAGGAACUUGCUCUGUCACCAGGCCAGAGUGCAAAGGUGCAAUCAUAGCUCACUGCAGCCUUGACCUCCUAGGCUCAAGCAAUCCUCCUGCUUCAGCCUCCUAAGUAGCUGGGACUACAGGUGCAUGUAACCAUGCCUGGCUAAUAUUUUUACUUUUUGUAGAGACAGGGGUCUUGCUUUGUUGCCCAGGCUGAUCUUGAACUCUUGGCUUCAAGUGAUCCUCCUGCCUCAGCUUCCCAAAGUGCCAGGAUUACAUGUGUGACCCACCAUGUAAGCCCACAUUUUUCUAACUUCUACAGUAAUAAUAUCUAUAUCCUAUUUAUUUAUAACAUAAAUCUUACUUAGCUUGUUUUACUUCUCUUCACUCUUGCUUUCCCUACCACCCUUCUACAUCACCUGGAAUUUGAAUUCCAGGUUUUCUUUUUAAUUUUCUAGAAUCUAAAUUCACUUUGUUUAGCAAUAUCUUUUACCAAAUACAUGACCACCUUUGCUUCCAUUAUCUCACAUCUUCCCUUAUGAUCUUUUUAAAAUUAUUGCUGGAAUAGAAUUCUGAAAAGUCACCCACACUUAAAUGAUAGUUUAAUUGAAUUCAAAAUUAUUUUCCCUAGAUUUUAAAAAAUAAUGCUUCGUGUCUUCUUAUAUCCAGUGGAGCCCAAAUGAGUUGGAUGUAAAUUUGACUUCCAUUUCUUCAUAAGCAUUUUCCCUGAAUGUGUUUAGAAAUUUCUCUUUGUUCCCAAAUUUUGUCACUGUGAAUCUAGGUGAGGGUCCUUCUCAUCAUGUAUGCUCAGAAUUUAAUAGGACCUUGCAAUCUAAGGAUGUAUGUAUGCAUUUAGAUCCUGUGAAAUAUCCUCCUUUUAUUCCUUUAUUUUCUCAUGACUAUGGUUGCAUACUACACAAUAGUAGGUUGUACACUACACAUUGGCAAAUCUUACUAUUCAAAUGACAGCCCCUGAAAUUGUGCAGUGCACAAUCAGCAAAUCUUAUUUGGUAGAUUUGUAUUUUAUUUCUUACAUGUUUUCAAUUCUCCCCUCCUCUCUAACUCCUCAUCCUGUUACAUGAGUUUGGAACAUCUGGAUCUAUUUUUCAUAUCAUUUAACUUUUCUUUCAUCUCUGCAUGCAUCUUUUUAUAUGGCUUUGUGGAGGAAUUUCUGGCUUAUCUUGAUCAUCAUGAGGACGGAGAAACUCAAACUAUGUGUUUCCUGUGCUUUCACACUACAACAAUCAACACAGAAGACUGACGGCGGAGGGGGGUUCUCCAUACAGCAAGCAAGCAAUCAGUUCUGCAGUGGACACCAGCUGAGUGUACUCCAAUUCAAUUUUUACACUAUUUAUCAGGAGAUCCCACAGGUUGAGGACUGAGUCUACCAGACUGCCCCCACUUCAAAUGCCAGUUCCAAGUCUGGGCCUCCAGAACUUCUGACCAACCAUUUCCAAGCUGGGGUUCCCAUGGCUUCCUCCUUUGCAUUGUAUUAAUUUGCUAGAGCAGUUCAUGAAACUCAGAGAAACACUUGGGUUUACUGGUUUAUAACAAAAAAUACAGAUGAAAAGAUGCAUAAGGUAAAGUAUGGGGGAAGGAGCAUGGAGCUUCCAUGCACCUCCACUGGGUGCGCCGCCCUUCAGGAACCUCUACAUGUUCAGCUAUCCAGAAGCUCUCCAAGCCCUGUCCUUUUGGGUCUUUGUAUGGAGGCUCCAUUGCAUAGGAAUCACUGAUUAAACCAUUGGCCAUUGGUGAUCGGCUUAACCUUCAGCCCCUCUCCCCUCCCCGGAAGUUGGAGGUGGGCUGAAAGUCCCAACUCUCUAAUCCUCCCCUUGUUCUUUCUGGUCACCAGCCCCCAUCCUGAAGCUACCUAGGGGCUGCCAGACAUCAGUCAACUCAUUAAUAAACAAAACGACAUCACACUUUGGUGUUUCUAAGGAUUUUAGGAGUUGUAUGUCAGGAAAUGGGGUUGAAGACCAAAUAUAUAUUUCAUAAUAGCACAAUCUUUCAGCUUAUUUAUUUUCUCUUGGCUUUAUCUAUCCUGUUCUGGAUUUAUCCCUUGUUGAAUUUUUAUGUCAAUAAUCAAAUUUUAAAUUUCCAAGAUGUGGGAGCGCCCAGUUACUUGGCACAUUUUCCUGCCUCCUUGAACCAAAUGACCGCACUCACUGCUGGGGUCAAAGAUGUCAGUCACCAGCCAGACAUGGUGGUUCACACCUGUAAACCCAGAACUUUGGGAGGCCAAGGUCGGUGGAUCCCUUGAGCCCAGGAGUUUGAGACCAGCCUGGGCAAAAUGGUGAAACCCCAUCUCUAUAAAAAAUACAAAAAUUAGCUGGUUGUGGUGGUACAUGCCUGUGGUCCCAACUACUAGGGAGGCUGAGGUGGGAGGAGAGCUUGAGCCCAGGAGGUUGGGGCUGCAGUGAGUUGAGAUCGUGCCACUGCACUCCAGCAUGGGUAAUAGAGUGAGACCCGGUCUCUAGAAAAUAAAUAAAAAGACUUCAGUCACCAAGGUAAGGAGAUGGGUGGAUAUUCCUACUGUGGUACCUGAACUGUCAUCCUGUCAGUUGCCCCAAGACCAACUUUUGUCUCCUGGUUCCAAAACAUGUGGAUCAUUUUUUGGUCCACUCCUGUCUUCUGCAGAAGUCCUCCUUGGCACUCUUCACUGUUACCCCAUCUGCCAUCUUUGUCAAUUUUUUAUCAUUUCUAGGAAUUUGGGGUGGAAUAUGAGAAGAAAGCAACAUAUCUUCAGGACACAAUCUUGAAUCAGUAGCUAUUUUUCACCUGUGCAUUAGAGAUGGGAAACUUGCAGAGCACUUAACAGGACUUCCCUACGAUCACCAACUAGUAUUUAUUGAAUUGUUUAUUAGUAGGAAACAUUAAGCAAUUAUCCUUCAUAAAAACAUUAUGAAGUAAGUAAGCAUUACUAUAGUCCCAGUUUUAAGAUGAGAAAACACAGAUUAAAAACAUCCUAAAGAGCAGAGCCAAGUUACACUCCAGGUGGUCCGUCUCAGAAGCCUGAACUCUUUACUAAUACACUAUACGAUGGCAUAUCCGGGUGAUUUUGGGAACACAUUAUACUUCUACCCUGCCAGGAGGGCCAAAUGUAUUUACUUUGUCAUCUCUGUGCUGUAAGGGGCCACAUUUCUACCCAUCAACUCAAUCUACAUUACUCAAGCAUGCUUGUAAUUCAUAGGUUAUUUCCUCAUGCCAGGAAGAACAGUCACAGUUCUGUUUCAUUACGCUUCUAUCUUUGAGACUCAAAUUCCCCCCUCCCCACUAUAAAUUAUUUGCACAUACUAGUCUAGAAAAAUUUAAUAUGCCACUUUCCCCCACAAACACAUCUCCACAAUCAUAAACACCAUGAAAUAAACUUCUCUUAGACAAAUGAAAAAGUUUCUUACCUUUUUCUCCAGGCUAAGGAUCAAAAUUCAAGUUUUACUUGGUUAACUCUCCUGCUAAUCUGAAAACUGUCUUCUACUCUAUAGAUGCUUGCUGUUUCAGGGGGGCAGGCGGGAGUUAUUUAAGAAUAAUUUCCAUUACCUAAUACCUUGAUACUAAUGUGAAAAAAAUUAUGAAAAUCAGAGGUCAAACACUUAAAAAGAUCCAUGAAAAAUCUCCUACAAAGACACUUAAAUAAGUAAAAUCAUCAAAUUUUCAUAAUGUGACAGGGAGAAGAUUGAAGAAACCAAAAAAAGCAAGUAUGUUCCUUUGCUGGAACUAAUCCUAUGGCUAAUAUAUAUACAAGUUAAUCAGCAUACCUUUCUCCUGCUCAUUAUUCUACAUAUAAUAUGGGUCUUAAGUAAGUAAACAUUCCAAACUAGAUGAAAUACAGUUCCAGAGAGAAAUUAUAAGUAGUUUAAGACUUAACCCUUUGUAUUAGAGUUCUCCAGAGGGACAAAACUAAUAGGGGAGACAUAUAUCUAUAGAUAUAGAUAGAUGAUAAUAGAUUAGAUACAGAUAUAUUAAAAGGAGUUUAUGAAGGAGAAUUGGCUCACAUGAUUACAAGGCAAAGUCCUACAGUGGGCCGUCUGCAAGCUGAGGAAGAAAGAAGCCAGUAGUGGUUCAGUCUGAGUCCAAAAGCCUCAAGAGUAGGGAAGCCCACAGUGCAGCCUUCAGUCUGUGGCCUAAGGCCCAAAAGCCCCAGGCAAGCCACUGGUGUUAAGUCCAAGAGUCCAAAGGCCAAAGAACCUGGAGUCUGAUGUCCAAAGGCAGGAGGAAUGGAUGGAGGCAUCCAGCACAGGAGAGGGAUGAAAGCCAGAACUCUGCAAGCCAGCUUAGCCCACCUUCUCUCUCCUGCUUUGUUGUAGCUACCCUGGCAGCCGACUGGAUGGUGCCAACCCACAUUGAGGGACAUCUGUGACACAAAGACUGUGACACACCCACAGGUCGAUUAACAUGAGGACCCAACACCUAUUAAAACAUCCACACUCCUGAGAACACUAAAAACCAACCACCUCGUCAGGUCCCACCUCCAGUCUAGCUGAAUCAGGAAACCUCAGGAGAAGCACCUGGAAGCAGGUUUAACAAGCGCAAAGGUGACUCUUAUAAUUGGGAAAGUUUGGAACCAAGACAGGGUUCUUGUCCUGGAGGAAGUAUUUUCCUGUGGAGAAGGACCUGUAAACAGCCUAUGAAGUGCUCAGCUUUCACCAAGAAAAGAAAAACAUGGGCUGAUAGGGUUAAGGAAACGUUUGACUGAAGAGGAUUAAAUCCUGAAGGUUAGGGAUGUCUUUGGGCGCUGGGGUCUCUCAAUCACCAAAGAUCGACAUUACAGGCCAGGUAGCUCUUUGUCCCCCCAGAGGACUGUCCUGUGCCUUAUGCUUAGCACUCCUGGCCUCUGCCCAUUGGAUACUUCUAGCACCUCCCCCGCAACACACACACACCUGACAACCCAAAACAUCUACAGAUAUUGCCAAAUACUCCACAGGGGGUGGGGUGGUGGCAAUAUAUCUCCCUGUUUGAAGUCACUGGAAUGGAAGUUAGGGGAGGAUGGCUAAGUCAGGACUUGCAAAAAGGCUAAGGGACGAAAGCACAUGGCUAUAUUAGACAAAGUUUGUGACAGACGCCUGUAGGUAUAUGGUAAGGAAAACAGAUUAAAACACUAAGAAAUAGUAAGAGGUCGGACCGAGGGUUUCUCAUCUGUAUGGGAAAUCUCAUCUCGUUCAUUACUUUCAGAAACAAAAAGGAAAACGACUUUAAAGAUACAGGUUAAAGGCCGAAGGGGUGUAGAACCACCCCCCGCCUCCUUCCCUCCAUCCCUCCCAAAUAUCCCAGAACGAGUCAAACCUUUCGAAUCUCGUAGCACAGAUAACAAGCAACUCAGUAAGACUGGACGGGGAUGACUGAGGGCCAACUCAUUACAGGACUACAGGAAACUCCUUAGUCCUAAACCCGAAUGC